rnacentral:rRNA from 1 species
ACCAUGGCGGACGGGUGAGUAACGCGUAAGGAACUUGCCUGCGGGACUGGGAUAACAGCAGGAAACUGCUGAUAAUACCGGAUAAGGUCAUUAAGCUGCAUAGCUUAGUGAUGAAAGGAGACGCCUGCGGAGAGCCUUGCGUCCUAUUAGCUAGUUGGAGGGGUAACGGCCCACCAAGGCGAAGAUAGGUAGCCGGCCUGAGAGGGUGGACGGCCACAUUGGGACUGAGACACGGCCCAAACUCC